AGCGAACGCUGGCGGCAUGCUUAACACAUGCAAGUCUCACGGGCAGCAAUGCCAGUGGCGGACGGGUGAGUAACGCGUAGGUAUCUAUCUCUGGGUGGGGGAUAACUGUGGGAAACUACAGCUAAUACCGCAUGAUGACCGAGGUCCAAAGGCGCAAGUCGCCUGGAGAGGAGCCUGCGUACGAUUAGCUAGUUGGUGGGGUAAAGGCCUACCAAGGCUGUGAUCGUUAGCUGGUCUGAGAGGAUGAUCAGCCACAUUGGGACUGAGACACGGCCCAAACUCCUACGGGAGGCAGCAGUGGGGAAUAUUGGACAAUGGGCGCAAGCCUGAUCCAGCAAUGCCGCGUGUGUGAAGAAGGUCUUCGGAUUGUAAAGCACUUUCGACGGGGACGAUGAUGACGGUACCCGUAGAAGAAGCCCCGGCUAACUUCGUGCCAGCCGCCGCAGUAAAAC
rnacentral:rRNA from 1 species